GCCAUGCCUUGGGGCUGUCAACCAGCCACCUAGUGGUAAGCUGAUUAUAUCAGAACACCUUCUCCUGGAAAGGGCAGUGACUUGUCUCAUCUGGGAUCCACCCACAUCCCAGGUGUGGGUUUGCCUUUCCUUGUGCAGUACCGUGCCGGCACUAACAUCUCAGAGAUUUACCAACACAGGAUUCCAUAUAACAUCAGCUUGGAGCACACGCAGGGGAUGCAUGUGAGCCAGGCGACCGCGGGGUCCACCGGAUCAUCUAACGCAACACCACUUAGGAGAUGCUGCCCUGACCGUAAAGGCAGAGAUAAAAUGCCGGCCUGGUGAUACACUUCAUGGGGUUGGGGUGCCAUAUUUCAGAUGAACCAACGGCCAAUCGAUGGCGCUGGGUGCCCAAGCAGUAAAAUGCAUGGAUGGAGGAAAUGGUGAAAGAAGAGGUGGCCCGUCUCACCAUCGCUCUAGAAACCCAGUAUGAACUUUGCGCUCAUCUUCCCCAAUUUUAGGUCUGGCAAAUCUAGAGGCCCUGGUUCAAACAGGUGGAGAAGGCUUCUACCACACAACACCAAAGCCAUGGUGGCCACCUGGUCACUUGGGGCUGCCCAUGCCAGAAGUCCAGCAGGCAUCACAAAGAGUUUCCAUGCCAGCCAGAUCAUCUGACCCUCAUUACUGUGAAGGGCAGAGUUGCCACUGCAUAAUUCUGGGAAUCAGGGGCUUCACUGGGCCUUUCUCCAUGCUCCUAUGAACAUGCUCCUGUGCGCAGUCUUCACUGUGACUGGAUUACCACAGCAGCCAGGGUUGGAAAAAGAACAGCAACAAAGACCAUGACCAGCACCAUCCUAAAGAACGAGCACAGUGAACCCAAUGUGAAGUGUUGGCAGAACAGGAAGGAGCCUGGUGCUCCAGCAGGUUCUCCUCUGAUGGUGUCAGACGUCCCUUCAGCCCUAACAGCUUGGGUGCAGCACUCGUGGCACACUCGGGGAGCUGGAAGCAUCUGAGAAUUGACACCCCAGGUGUAGCCCUCAGACUAAUGCCGUGCGGAGGGUGCAGAGGCAAACACGUUGCAGCUCCCUUUCCAGCAGCGAUAGCUCUGAGGUGCGACCUACGCUGCUGCCAGAAGUCCCUUGGGAGAUGACCCACACUGACCCACCAGGACUUGGCUUGGGACGCAGGAUUUCUGGUCCUUCUCUUCCCACCCAUUUCCCCAUGCCCCUCUGCUGGUUUCUACUGGGAACAUAACUUAAGAAAUAACUUUCACAUGA